rnacentral:rRNA from 1 species
UAAUACGAAGGAGGCAAGCGUUGUUCGGAAUCACUGGGCUUAAAGCGCAUGUAGGCGGGGUGCCAGGUACCUUGUGAAAUCCCUCGGCUCAACUGAGGAAUAGCUUGGUAAACCGGUACUCUUGAGGCAGGUAGAGGCGGGCGGAACCAUGGGUGGAGCGGUGAAAUGCGUAGAGAUCCAUGGGAACACCGGGGGCGAAAGCGGCCCGCUGGGCCUGAUCUGACGCUGAGAUGCGAGAGCGUGGGUAGCAAACAGGAUUAGAUACCCUGGUAGUCCACGCUGUAAACGAUGCGCACUAGAUACGAGGAGCUCUGACGUUGCUCGUAUCGGAAUAAAAACGUUAAGUGCGCCGCCUGGGGAGUACGGCCGCAAGGCUA